GAUCCUGGCUCAGAUUGAACGCUGGCGGCAGGCUUAACACAUGCAAGUCGAGCGGAGAUGAGGUGCUUGCACCUUAUCUUAGCGGCGGACGGGUGAGUAAUGCUUAGGAAUCUGCCUAUUAGUGGGGGACAACAUUCCGAAAGGAAUGCUAAUACCGCAUACGUCCUACGGGAGAAAGCAGGGGAUCUUCGGACCUUGCGCUAAUAGAUGAGCCUAAGUCGGAUUAGCUAGUUGGUGGGG
rnacentral:rRNA from 1 species